AGCGAACGCUGGCGGUAGGCCUAACACAUGCAAGUCGAACGGCAGCACAGUAAGAGCUUGCUCUUACGGGUGGCGAGUGGCGGACGGGUGAGGAAUACAUCGGAAUCUACUUUUUCGUGGGGGAUCACGUAGGGAAACUUACGCUAAUACCGCAUACGACCUACGGGUGAAAGCAGGGGAACUUCGGACCUUGCGCGAUUGAAUGAGCCGAUGUCGGAUUAGCUAGUUGGCGGGGUAAAGGCCCACCAAGGCGACGAUCCGUAGCUGGUCUGAGAGGAUGAUCAGCCGCACGAGAACGGAGACACGGUCCAGACUCCUACGGGAGGCAGCAGUGGGGAAUAUUGGACAAUGGGCGCAAGCCUGAUCCAGCCAUACCGCGUGGGUGAAGAAGGCCUUCGGGUUGUAAAGCCCUUUUGUUGGGAAAGAAAAGCAGCAGGUUAAUACCCCGCUGUUCUGACGGUACCCAAAGAAUAAGCACCGGCUAACUUCGUG
rnacentral:rRNA from 1 species